CUUCAGUUUCUUCUUCUUUUAAUAGUUUGGAUACCACGGAACAAGUAUCAGGCCCCACGUGCAAAACUUUGCGCAUGCUGUCACCAUAUGCCUUCUUUAAAUAAGGUAUAGCCUGGUGAACCUCCGAAGUGCAGGUAAAUUCACCUUCAAGCCUGCUGAGUGCUGAACUUCCAGAUGUACCUGAGCCUCGAUAGAAAUAGCCAAUAACAAGGACAGCACCAAGAAUGAGAAGGACAGUAGGUAACAAAGGAGUAGGGCGCGAUUUCGGAUGAAAAAGGCCUCCGAGGCUUCCACCACCAGCAAAGCGCCGUGUGGGGUUUCCGGGCCUUCUAGACAUAAUUGCUUUUAGUGGAGUAUUGAGUCCAGUAUACUACACCAAAUCACGACGAGAGAAGCUUCAGGAGAGGGAAUUAAGGAAAAAAAGAAUUAAUCUUCAGAGGUUGUUUGUUUGUUGCUAGAUUUGGAUCUAUUGUUGUGUUUUGCUUAGAAACAUAUGCAUGCUCAGUUCAGAUGGAACGCGUAUUUUCUUGGGUGUAAGUAAGUGAAAACCAAUCAAAAACUAGCCUAGCGGAUGGG
rnacentral:misc_RNA from 1 species